UACAGAGGGUGCAAGCGUUGUUCGGAAUUAUUGGGCGUAAAGCGCGUGUAGGCGGCUUUGCAAGUCGGGUGUGAAAGCCCUCGGCUCAACCGAGGAAGUGCGCCCGAAACUGCAGAGCUUGAGUACCGGAGAGGAUGGCGGAAUUCCCCAAGUAGAGGUGAAAUUCGUAGAUAUGGGGAGGAACACCGGUGGCGAAGGCGGCCAUCUGGACGGAUACUGACGCUGAGGCACGAAAGCGUGGGGGAGCAAACAGG
rnacentral:rRNA from 1 species